rnacentral:lncRNA from 1 species
CUGCCCGCCUUGGCCUCCCAAAGUGCUGGGAUUACAGGUGUGAGCCACCAAGUCCAGCCUGUAAAUUGAUUUUUUAGUGAAACUUCAGAGAGUGAAGGGAAAGUUUUCCCAUAGCUCCUACACUGGGUAAAAGGAAUUCCCGUAAAAUAGGCCUUUAGUCAUGUGGUGGAGGAGGUGUGGGGCAGGGGUGGCGUUCCACAGUCCUGUGAUUAGCUCUCACUCUUUUCAUGAGCCUGGGAACCCUCCUGGGCUGUGAAGUUCACCAGUGCUUCUCCAUUUUUUUCUCCCCUUAGGUGGGACAGAGAUGGGAGUGGAAUUGGCUAUUUCCCCUCCCUCAGGUCAGCUAGGCUCUGAUAAAGCUCCAGAAGAUUGGGCUGGGCUAAAAUAGUUUCUCUUGAGAAGCAGGCCUUGUUAAGAACAGAAUGCUCUGGCAUAUUUCAAAAUGGUUACUUUUCCCAUCCCCCUGCUGAAAGCACAAGGAGAUUUUUCUCUGACAUUCACUGGGAGGACUCGAUAGAGAUCCUGAAGAUUAAACUCACAAACAUGUGGGGACGCCCCUAUGGCUGGCUCUUGCUGGAAUGUUUAAUGUUCAGAUUUGCCCACGCUGAGCCUCCAGCUAUUCUUCAAUUACAGGUUAGGUUGUCCUGUCCUGGUACCGGUUCUAGAGCAGGUUUCUACUUGGGGGUUUCUCCUUCUCUGUCUCUUCAAUUUUGAGGGCAGUGAUUUGCCCUGUGACCUGACUCCUCUAAAGGAUCUAAGAAGAAUUGUUGAUUUUCCAGUUUGCUAAACUUUUUACUUAUUAUUAGGACAGAGAGACAACGUCCAAGCCCCUUACAUGCCUGACUGGACACUAGACGUCUCACUACCAUGUAUUGAACACCCAGGUGGAACUCAUGCCUAAGGAAUCUACAGUGUUUAAAGCUCCCCAGGGCCAGGCGUGGUGGUUCACACCUGUAAUCCCAGCACUUUGGGAGGCUGAGGCAGGCGGAUCACCUGGGGUCAGGAGUUCAAGACCAGCCUGGCUGACAUGGUGAAACCCCAUCUCUACUAAUAAUACAAAAAAAAAAGCUGGGCAUGGUGGCAUGCACCUGUAGUCCCAGCUACUAGGGAGGCUGAGGCACAAGAAUGGCUUGAACCUGGGAGGCGAAGGUUGCAGUGAACCAAGAUCGCGCCACUGUACUCCAGCCUGGGCAACAGAGCAAGACAGAGACUCCAUCUCAAAAUAAAUAAAUAGAAGGCUCUCCAGGACAUUUUGAUGCCCACUGGGAUAUGGGAACUCCUGCCAUGGGGAGGAGGGCGUCUUUAAGAAGGAAUAGGCCCUAUUGAGAUGCCAGCUGUAGACCUCUAGGAGUUGACCAUCGAGCCUGAGAAGGUAAGGAGAGGGUGUAGGAGACCCCUGACUCUGACCUCCACCCUCUCAUUCCUCUCCAGGGCAGUCCCGCACUCUGAUGGCCACAUCUGGUGCCAGGUAGUUUCUCGUAAAGAUCUACACUCACAUUACAACCUAGACAUCCCACUAGUAGGUAUUUACCCAAGACACCUGAAAGCAUGUGUGUACCCAAAGACUCGUAAAUGAAUGCAACUCUAUAUGUAAUAGCCAAAAUUAGAAACAAUCCAAAUGUUCAUCAGCAGGUGAGUGGUAAAACAAGUUGUGAUAUGUUCAUACAAUGUUGCUACUCAGUAAUAAAAAGAAAUGAGCUACAGAUACAGAUAAGGAAACUUGGAGGUGAUAUGUUCAUAAUCUUGUUUGGGUCAAAGGUUUCAGGGAUGUAUACAUGUGUCAAAACAUAUCAAACCGUAUAAUUUAAAUACG